AGCAGCCGCCGCGGUAAUACGUAGGCAGCAAGCGUUGUUCGGAGUUACUGGGCGUAAAGGGUGUGUAGGCGGUUGUUUAAGUUGGGUGUGAAAUCUCCCGGCUCAACUGGGAGGGUGCGCCGAAUACUGAAUGACUAGAGUAUGGGAUGGGAGAGUAGAAUUCCUGGUGUAGCGGUGAAAUGCGUAGAUAUCAGGAGGAAUACCGGUGGUGUAGACGGCUCUCUGGACCAUUACUGACGCUGAGACACGAAAGCGUGGGUAGCAAACAGGAUUAGAUACCCCCGUAGUCCCUGUCUCUUAUAC
rnacentral:rRNA from 1 species